UUCCGAUGAGGAUAAAAUCUAAGGCUGGUUUCUCAUGAACAUUCGCAGUAGCCGCCUGAGCGCUUUCGCCCUGCCAGGCUUGAGAGCCAUUGAUGCUUAAUUCUUCCUUGGAUGUCUGAGGUC